AUUGAACGCUGGCGGCAGGCCUAACACAUGCAAGUCGAACGAGUGGCGGACGGGUGAGUAAUGUAUGGGAAACUGCCUGAUGGAGGGGGGUAACUACUGGAAACGGUAGCUAAUACCGCAUACCAUCGGAUGUGCCCAGAUGGGAUUAGCUAGUAGGUGGGGUAAAGGCUCACCUAGGCGACGAUCCCUAGCUGGUAUGCGAGGAUGAACAGCCACACUGGAAAUGAGACACGGUCCAGACUCCUACGGGAGGCAGCAGUGGGGAAUGUUGCACAAUGGGGGAAGGCCUGAUUCAGCCAUGCCGCGUGUAUGAAGAAGGCAUUCUGGUUGUAAAGUACUUUCAGCGGGGAGGCGUUACCCGCAGAAGAAGCACCGGCUAACUCCGUGCGAGCAGCCGCGGUAAUAC
rnacentral:rRNA from 1 species